rnacentral:rRNA from 8 species
CCCAGACAGCCAGGAUGUUGGCUUAGAAGCAGCCAUCAUUUAAAGAAAGCGUAAUAGCUCACUGGUCGAGUCGGCCUGCGCGGAAGAUGUAACGGGGCUAAACCAUGCACCGAAGCUGCGGCAGCGAACGUAUCACUUAAAGCGAUUCAGCGGGUUACGAUUGACGGAGCGAAGCGACGUCAAAGCGUAUACAAAGUCGAGUCGGUUUAAGGAUACGUUCGUUGGGUAGGGGAGCGUUCUGUAAGCCUGCGAAGGUGGCCUGUGAGGGUUGCUGGAGGUAUCAGAAGUGCGAAUGCUGACAUAAGUAACGAUAAAGCGGGUGAAAAGCCCGCUCGCCGGAAGACCAAGGGUUCCUGUCCAACGUUAAUCGGGGCAGG